AUUGAACGCUGGCGGCAGGCCUAACACAUGCAAGUCGAGCGAGCGGCGGACGGGUGAGCAAUGUCUGGGGACUGCCCGAUAGAGGGGGAUAACUACUGGAAACGGUGGCUAAUACCGCAUACUAUCGGAUAACCCAUAUGGGAUUAGCUAGUAGGUGGGGUAAAGGCUCACCUAGGCGACGAUCCCUAGCUGGUCUGAGAGGAUGAUCAGCCACACUGGGACGGAGACACGGCCCAGACUCCUACGGAGGCAGCAGUGGGGAAUAUUGCACAAUGGGCGCAAGCCUGACGCAGCCAUGCCGCGUGUAUGAAGAAGGCCUUAGGGUUGUAAAGCACUUUCGGCGGGGAAGCGUUACCGACCGAAGAAGCACCGGCUAACUCCGUGCCAGCAGCCGCGGUAAUAC
rnacentral:rRNA from 1 species